rnacentral:hammerhead_ribozyme from 1 species
AUCCAGCUGGUGAAUCCCAAAUAGGACGAAAUGCGCAUUAUCAUGGAU